CUCAUUGACAGCUUCUCCCUCGAAGAGCUCUUCAGCACCAUCAAGGCAUUCAGAGACCUCUUCCUUCGAACCCUCAAGGAGAACGAAGGUCACAGGGAGCAGGAGAAGAGGAGGAAGAGGUUGGAGGAAGGGAGGAAACUGAGAGAAGAAGCCCCCACCAGAAAGAUCAGCAAGUCAGACACCAUUAUUUCACCUUAAAUCCUCCCUCCUUAAAUGGAGAGACAGGUGUCCCUCACCUGUCUCUCCAGGUGUGGCAGGUGAAGGACAGGUCAAGUGCAAGUGGAGAACAGGUGAGACAUGUGAAGGGCCGGUGACGGACAGGUCGAGAAUCAAUAGCUGACAUCAGCAACAUUUUUCUGCAACAGUUUAUCAGCAGCUGAAUAUUUAAAGGAAAUGAUGUGACAGCAUCAGGACGAGAAGAAAGUUUGUAAAGAUUAAAUGCUGCU
ensembl:lncRNA